CUAGAAACCUGGUCAUAAAAAAAGAAAAAAAAGAAUGGCGUCCAUUUACAUAAUGCUUUGUUUGCAUUUUGCAAGUUUCUUUGGGUUGAACCCGCAGAAAUCCCUCCUCCCUGUCCUAGUGUCAUCGUAGUCGCAGCCUUCCCGUCAGGCAUUUAAGACAAUGGCGUGUUUCUUUGGGGGGGGGCCUCACUUAUUCAGGGGUGCCCAGGAGUGUUUUGGGGAGUUUCUGCGGUUUUCCCUGUUACUGUUCACUUCCCGGCUGCUGCCUUUCGCCCCCUUCUCUGCUUGGUGCAGCCGCCGCGCCCCCGCUCUUUCCGGGGGCGGCUCCUGACGGGGUCCCGCCAUCUUGGAAGGCCUUUUCUGCCGGAUGUCGCUGGCGCAUGUUUCUCUCGCUGGGAAAAGAUCGCUCGAGACGCUAGUGUGUCUGUUGUGGUUUCUGCCCAUUCCCCUUUCGGUUCAGGCAGAAAAGGCCGUGUGCGCGACCUGCUUCCUGUUCCCUCAGGGAAAGCGGCUAACGGCGGUCCCCCUGUACCCGCCUCCUCUCCUUCUCUGCGGGGGUGGCCGCCAUGUUUCCUAAACACAAAAUGGCGGCCCGUGGCCAGGAUACACCGCCAACGAAAAAUUGGGGUUGCCGUGAAAGCCCUAGAAUGCUCCCUUUUCCGGCCCCCUCUCCGUGCUGGCGGGCCGGGGCCUUCCCCUCCAAGCGGGUGCGCUGACCACUCUGGGAUAAGACCCCGCGGGCUGUCCCAAACCUCGGGGCAAAUUUUAAUACAUUUCCCCCCACCGAUUCGAAACGGGAACGCGAAUGACUGUAAAACAUGAAUUGACUUAGGCCCAAAGAGAUGAAGUGAAUAAUUCAAGGUCACAGUGUCCAGGAUGGAAUCCAGACCUUCUGAUUUCCUUAUUGACCUGCACUGUCCUGUGGAUACUUGAGUGAAUUCCACACCACCCAUUUUACAGAUGAAGCCACUGAGACAUGGAGCUACUGACAAAAAUAAGUCACCGCCCCACCCCAUGGAGGCUCACAUAUGACUCUUUUCCCACUUGAGUGACCACAGCUUCAUUUACCAUCUACAAAUGGACGCCGUUCAAAUCUCUCUCCAGACUGCUUAUGUAAACAACUCCACUGGGAUGGUUUGUGGACUUGGCAAAAUGCAGCCUCCUGCUCUUCCCACUUGCUCCUCAUCCAGUGUCCUGUCACAAACAGUACCACCACCUACAUAGUUGCCAGGCCCAAGCUGAGUAGUCACUGUGAGAAGUGCAAUCUGUCCUACGUAUUUGAGAGCAAAUUUAUCUGGACCCUGUCCACCACAUUACUCAAAAUUUCACCCAAGACUGAAAAUCUUCCAUUCAAACUAGCGUGUCUGGUCACCUUGGACAACUUCCUUGGAUAAAUUCCAAGAAAUGGAGUGAUUGAGUUGAAGGAUAUGCACACUUAAAACGCUGAUUUUUGGAGCCAAACUACUCUUAAGAAUGUUGACUUCUACCAACACCAAAUAAGACUGCAUAUUUCUCCACAUCAUCAGUAAUGCUGGGUUGUGUGUUUUUCAUUUUCCCCAUCUGAUAGGUGAAAAGUGUUCUUGCCAUUAUAACAUGGCAGUUGAGACUGUGACUCUGGGACCAGCCUGUUGGGGCCUGAAUUCCAAGUCAGCCAUUUACCUUGUAACCUUGAAUAAGGAAACUGAGGCCCAGAGAGGUCAAAUAUUUGGCAAUCUCUCUAGGUCACUGCUCUGCUGGCUGGGCACUUACUCUGAAGAUCCUCCUGUUGGCUGUUGUCCUUCCCCACCUUCACUAAGGGCAUCCGCUUUGUGGUGGUGCUGGGGCUGAGCUGCUGGAUGGUCCCUUUCCCAACACAGCAGGCCACAGCUUUUCACCAUCCUUGCCCACCGCACACCCUGAAGUGAAACUCCUCUCAGAAGACUUCUGGCUGUAGCCUGAUCAUUUCAGCAGAUCUCCUCCUAGUCCCACCCCUCCAGGCAAACUUCUUUGUUUCAGAAAUGGGCAAACUGUGGGAGAUCCAGCAAGGGCAAAGCUGUGCCUGUGUUGAGGAGCUGAUGUUCAGAUUGUGUAAAAGGGAUUGGAGCAGAGGGGAGCAGACACUGCGUGGGAUAAAGUCUGUCCUUCGUGGAGGAGCAUUUCUUGAGGUAUUUUUCAGGUGAGGGAGGAGAAAAUUGCAUUCCUUCCUCUGGAAUGCCCUGCUUACACCACUCAAAUUGGGUAAUUCCUGCCUCACUGGCUUCUACUUUAGUCCUUUCAGACUGAACCUGAAAUGACAUGGUAAUACCUCAGUAUUUAGGCUUUGCUUUUAAUAAAUAAACAUUUAAAUAAAUGAACACCUA